rnacentral:rRNA from 1 species
UAGCCCAGCGCUGAAUCCCUCGGCGUCUCGUCGUUGGGACCUGUAGCGUUAACGAAAGUCGUUGCCUACGUCGUUCGCGUUUCGUAAGCUCCCUUGAUCGGGACCCCGUAGAGGGUGGAAGGCCCGUAACGAAACGGUCGACGGAGGGUUGGAUUUUCGAUAGAGUCGGGUUGCUUGAGAGUGCAGCCCAAAGUUGGUGGUAAAUCCCAUCUAAGGCUAAAUAUAACCACGAGACCGAUAGCGAACAAGUACCGCGAGGGAAAGUUGAAAAGAACUUUGAAGAGAGAGUUCAAGAGGGCGUGAAACCGUUUAGGAGAAAACGGGUAAAGCCGCGAGGAGAGGCCGCAAAAAUCAACCGUUCGACUGGCGAUCUAUCGAUUGGCGAGACUCUAAAAGCUCAUCGGUUGGCUAAUAAUCGUCUCGGAUGGUGCACUUUUUGUGGCGCGCGUCGCGAUCGAGAUUUCGGUUCGAAACAAGAGUCAACUCGAAGACGGAGCCGUGUGUUCCGCGCCUAAGUUGACUCGGACGUCGAUACUGGAUCUCGGUUUGCUUUUACGAUGACAACGGUGUUUCAUCGAGUUCGAACUCCGUUUCGUUCGGGUCGGUCCGAAAUGUUGGUAGCUUGCACGCAGGCUCCGACGACCCCCGGCGCUACGCGAUUCGGUUUCGACUCGUGUUUGUUAUCCGCUCCGCGACGUCCGCGGCGGCCGCUUACCCGACCCGUCUUGAAACACGGACCAAGGAGUCUAACAUGUGCGCAAGUCGUCGGGACGAUAGAAACCCGUACGGCGCAAUAAAAGUGAAAGCGAUCUCACGAUCGCGUUAGAUACGAUCUCGUCUCUUCGGAGGCGAGCGGAGUAUUGUCCCGUCCGAGCGGUACGUCCGCUGGGCGGAGAUAGAGCGUAAAUGUUGGGACCCGAAAGAUGGUGAACUAUGCUCGAGCAGAACGAAGCCAGAGGAAACUCUGGUGGAGGUUCGUAGCGGUUCUGACGUGCAAAUCGAUCGUCAGAC